UACGUAGGGGGCUAGCGUUGUCCGGAAUCAUUGGGCGUAAAGCGCGUGUAGGCGGUCCGGUAAGUCCGCUGUGAAAGUCGAGGGCUCAACCCUCGAAUGCCGGUGGAUACUGUCGGGCUAGAGUGCGGAAGAGGCGAGUGGAAUUCCUGGUGUAGCGGUGAAAUGCGCAGAUAUCAGGAGGAACACCUAUUGCGAAGGCAGCUCGCUGGGACGUUACUGACACUGAGGCGCGAAAGCGUGGGGAGCGAACAGG
rnacentral:rRNA from 1 species